rnacentral:lncRNA from 1 species
UACAAUAGAGGAUAUGUAUUUUUUUUAAUUAAUACAAAAAAGAGAAAAAAAGAGACCUAAUCCCUAUUUUCAAAAAAUUCUCCUCUUCUAUCUUUUCUUUGUAAGAUUCAAAUUGAACGGAUUGAAGAAAAUCUUUCUUCUCCCUGAUCAGAUCAUCUGGUGCGAGAAUUUGAAAAUGGAUCCAAGCCAAGAUCCUUAUAGUGAAG